AAUCUGAUUAUUUCUCAUUUCUCUCUCUCUCUCUCUCUCCCGCGAGCAGCCCCCUCCCCUUCGACAAAAACCUCCAGCCGCCACUUCCAGCAGCCACCGUCGCCGCCACGCUGCACCACCGGCCACAAGACCGGACUCGAUCGAACCGCCUCCUCCUCCUCUCUCUUCCCCGGCCAGCGCAGCCCUUGGAGCUGCUGGAAUUCGCCGGAAAACGCAGAAACGUCGCCGGAAAUUUCAGUAACUUUGAGGUCUUCGUUCUCCUUCGUUUCUCAACCAAAUUGGACGAGUGAGGUAAUCCGACUCCGCCUUCGGAGCAGGCAGGACCCUCUCGGGGUCACGCAGCUUGGGACUACUUGUGAGUGGACUUUGUUUUCAAAUAAAUAGCAUGGAUUUAUCUUGGAAAUUGCAUGUAUAAGAAUUUAAGGAUUUACUGACAGUUAAUUUGUGCUUUAAAGUGAAACUAAUAUGUUCGUAAGUAUUUGGUAUAUUUUCUGGGUUUUGAUAUUCUAAGUAUCUUGAGUAUAUAUGAAUUGAUAUAUGUGAAUUGUUAUCUAUCUUUGAGGGCUAUGUGUGGGAAGUACGGGGUUGUUUUAUGAGUUGUGGAAAGAUGUGGUAUAGAUUGUCAGUGAAGUGCUAUAAGCACUACCCCGUGUACCUCCCCCUGGAUUUGUGAAUGGAUUAUGGAAAUGUGAUACUUGGAAAUAUCGGAACCCGGGGCAUACCUUAACGGGGUGUCGCUGUAGACCCUUAAUUGG